rnacentral:tRNA from 1 species
ACAGCUCAGUUGGUUAAAGCUUGGUGCUGAUAACGCCAGGGUUGCAGGUUCGAUCCCCGUAUGGGACA